ACUGUUUGGACGAGGGGCCCCUCUCGGGUUACCGAAUUCAGACAAACUCCGAAUGCCAAUUAAUUUAACUUGGGAGUCAGAACAUGGGUGAUAAGGUCCGUGUUCGAAAGGGAAACAGCCCAGACCACCAGCUAAGGUCCCAAAAUAUAUGUUAAGUGGAAAAGGAUGUGGCGUUGCCCAGACAACUAGGAUGUUGGCUUAGAAGCAGCCAUCAUUUAAAGAGUGCGUAAUAGCUCACUAGUCGAGUGACACUGCGCCGAAAAUGUACCGGGGCUAAACAUAUUACCGAAGCUGUGGAUUGUCCUUUGGACAAUGGUAGGAGAGCGUUCUAAGGGCGUUGAAGCAUGAUCGUAAGGACAUGUGGAGCGCUUAGAAGUGAGAAUGCCGGUGUGAGUAGCGAAAGACGGGUGAGAAUCCCGUCCACCGAUUGACUAAGGUUUCCAGAGGAAGGCUCGUCCGCUCUGGGUUAGUCGGGUCCUAAGCUGAGGCCGACAGGCGUAGGCGAUGGAUAACAGGUUGAUAUUCCUGUACCACCUAUAAUCGUUUUAAUCGAUGGGGGGACGCAGUAGGAUAGGCGAAGCGUGCGAUUGGAUUGCACGUCUAAGCAGUAAGGCUGAGUAUUAGG
rnacentral:rRNA from 1 species